CGUGAGGGAAGAGGUGCUCAGGCUGUCGGAAAGCCUAUGGUCUACACUUUGUUUCUUCUUGUUGGUGACAGAGUUGAACCCUGAUCACCAUUUCUUCAGCGUACAUCCUAGCUAUGGAGCUGUCUAGAGGCUGCUGGGUGCUCUGUGGGUUCCUUCUGAACUGUUCUGCACUGCAAAAAACACUGAAACCAUCCAAGCAGGGUGGCUUGGUGAGCUGCAUGGAGCGAAUGGGCAGUGCUGAUCCCAGAUCCUGGUAGAACACCAGCCCAGCCAAAGAGAUGCUUUAGAUCAUUCACUUGGAAGAACGCUCACUUUGAGAAGAAAAGACAUCACUCCUCCAAGAAGUCCCGGGCUGCUAUUCUGGACCACACUGUUGGAUCUAAACACUCCUUUGCCGUGUCCAUUCAAGUUCCCAUUUGCGGUCCUGACAGUGCCCAGGAAGAAUGCAUUCACUGAAUAUUCAGCAGUCCCAGGAGAAAGAUAUUCAGGGAUGGGUGAAACGUUGGUUGUCUCUCAGCAUCAUUCUCUCUCUACAUACCCAUGUACUGACAGGCAUGAUCUGACCUUGGUGAAGCCAUGCUGACUGUCUCAGAUCACCUCCUCGUCUCACAUGUGCCUUGACAUAGCACAGAGGGCAUCAUUUGUUUCCUCUACAGCAAAAGUGAAAUUCUGAUCUCCACGUGGAAUGCUCCA
rnacentral:lncRNA from 1 species